UACGUAGGUGGCAAGCGUUGUCCGGAUUUAUUGGGUUUAAAGGGUCCGUAGGCGGUCCCGUAAGUCAGUGGUGAAAGCCCAUCGCUCAACGGUGGAACGGCCAUUGAUACUGCUGGACUUGAAUUACUGGGAAGCAACUAGAAUAUGUAGUGUAGCGGUGAAAUGCUUAGAGAUUACAUGGAAUACCAAUUGCGAAGGCAGGUUGCU
rnacentral:rRNA from 1 species